AAGAACCCAACAGGGAUUGCCUUAGUAACGGCGAGUGAAGCGGCAACAGCUCAAAUUUGAAAGCUGGCCCUUUUAGGGUCCGCAUUGUAAUUUGUAGAGGAUGAUUCGGCGAGGGCUCCUGCCUAAGUCCCCUGGAACGGGGCGUCAUAGAGGGUGAGAAUCCCGUAUGCGGUAGGUUGCCUUAGCCAUGUGAAUCUCCUUCGACGAGUCGAGUUGUUUGGGAAUGCAGCUCUAAAUGGGAGGUAAAUUUCUUCUAAAGCUAAAUACCGGCCAGAGACCGAUAGCGCACAAGUAGAGUGAUCGAAAGAUGAAAAGCACUUUGGAAAGAGAGUUAAAAAGUACGUGAAAUUGUUGAAAGGGAAGCGCUUGCAACCAGACUUGUCCGCAGUUGCUCAGCCGGUCUCCUGACCGGCGUACUCUUCUGCGGCCAGGCCAGCAUCAGUUCGGGCGGUCGGAUAAAGGCCUCGGGAAUGUGGCUCCUCUCGGGGAGUGUUAUAGCCCGGGGUGCAAUGCGGCCAGCCUGGACUGAGGAACUCGCUUCGGCAAGGAUGCUGGCGUAAUGGUUGUAAGCGGCCCGUCUUGAAACACGGACCAAGGAGUCUAACAUCUAUGCGAGUGUUCGGGUGUCAAACCCGUACGCGUAAUGAAAGUGAACGGAGGUGGGAACCCGCAAGGGUGCACCAUCGGCCGAUCCUGAUGUCUUCGGAUGGAUUUGAGCAAGAGCAUAGCUGUUGGGACCCGAAAGAUGGUGAACUAUGCCUGAAUAGGGUGAAGCCAGAGGAAACUCUGGUGGAGGCUCGCAGCGGUUCUGACGUGCAAAUCGAUCGUCAAAUUUGGGUAUAGGGGC
rnacentral:rRNA from 1 species